UGGGCUAUAGCCAAGCGGUAAGGCAACGGUUUUUGGUACCGUCGUGCGCUGGUUCGAAUCCAGCUAGCCCAA
rnacentral:tRNA from 1 species